rnacentral:rRNA from 1 species
GACGAACGCUGGCGGCGUGCCUAAUACAUGCAAGUCGAGCGGAUUGAUGGGAGCUUGCUCCCUGAUAUCAGCGGCGGACGGGUGAGUAACACGUGGGCAACCUGCCUAUAAGACUGGAAUAACUUCGGGAAACCGGAGCUAAUACCGGAUAAUCCCUUUCCUCUCAUGAGGAAAGGCUGAAAGAUGGUUUACGCUACCACUUAUAGAUGGGCCCGCGGCGCAUUAGCUAGUUGGUGAGGUAACGGCUCACCAAGGCAACGAUGCGUAGCCGACCUGAGAGGGUGAUCGGCCACACUGGGACUGAGACACGGCCCAGACUCCUACGGGAGGCAGCAGUAGGGAAUCUUCCGCAAUGGACGAAAGUCUGACGGAGCAACGCCGCGUGAGUGAUGAAGGUUUUCGGAUCGUAAAACUCUGUUGUUAGGGAAGAACAAGUACGAGAGUAACUGCUCGUACCUUGACGGUACCUAACCAGAAAGCCACGGCUAACUACGUGCCAGCAGCCGCGGUAA